GGGUUCCGAGUGGCGACACCCAAGCCAGUCUCGCUGCGGCCGUUCUUGGAAGAGGACGCCGAAUUUCUAAGCUCCGUUGAGGACUAACAUGCCAGAGCAGCCCGUGCAAGUGACAGUCAGGAUGACCGAGACACACCUCGCCCCCGGCGUGUGCACCGUGUGCAGGUUCCGGUUGGGGAGACCAUCUACUAUCUGACACACCAGUGACCCGAGUUAACAGCAAGACUAUCACAGCCGUGUUACCAAGUAGGCCUAUGGAACUACGAGUCGU
rnacentral:lncRNA from 1 species